GUCCUUAUUAACUGAUCAUGUCCGACCUAAAGAAGGUAAAGAAUGAAGACUCCAUUAAAAAUAGCGAAUGAAGAAAAAGAAAUUAGGAAAAAAGCAGUCGGAGUGGACUCACCGCCAUUUCCGCUGUACAUCAUCAGGCAGCCCUUUGCAAAGAUCUGCAUCAAGACUGAUUUGAAAACCUUUCACAUCGAUCAAGAUGGAGGUGCACAUGGAUCAAUACGCUUUUCACACCUUCCAAGAUUUCAGCAAAAGUAUUUAAUGGUGUAUUUGUGGCUGUUUUGUAACCAUCAGUUUACACGUAAUGUAAAAAAAUAUCUAUAUUUUUCCCG